rnacentral:piRNA from 1 species
UGAUUGUUCAAGGAUUCAGCUCAAU